CUGUGAGGCAUGCUGGAGGUAUCAGAAGUGCGAAUGCUGACAUAAGUAACGAUAAAGCGGGUGAAAAGCCCGCUCGCCGGAAGACCAAGGGUUCCUGUCCAACGUUAAUCGGGGCAGGGUGAGUCGACCCCUAAGGCGAGGCCGAAAGGCGUAGUCGAUGGGAAACAGGUUAAUAUUCCUGUACUUGGUGUUACUGCGAAGGGGGGACGGAGAAGGCUAUGUUGGCCGGGCGACGGUUGUCCCGGUUUAAGCGUGUAGGCUGGUUUUCCAGGCAAAUCCGGAAAAUCAAGGCUGAGGCGUGAUGACGAGGCACUACGGUGCUGAAGCAACAAAUGCCCUGCUUCCAGGAAAAGCCUCUAAGCAUCAGGUAACAUCAAAUCGUACCCCAAACCGACACAGGUGGUCAGGUAGAGAAUACCAAGGCGCUUGAGAGAACUCGGGUGAAGGAACUAGGCAAAAUGGUGCCGUAACUUCGGGAGAAGGCACGCUGAUAUGUAGGUGAAGCGACUUGCUCGUGGAGCUGAAAUCAGUCGAAGAUACCAGCUGGCUGCAACUGUUUAUUAAAAACACAGCACUGUGCAAACACGAAAGUGGACGUAUACGGUGUGACGCCUGCCCGGUGCCGGAAGGUUAAUUGAUGGGGUCAGCGCAAGCGAAGCUCUUGAUCGAAGCCCCGGUAAACGGCGGCCGUAACUAUAACGGUCCUAAGGUAGCGAAAUUCCUUGUCGGGUAAGUUCCGACCUGCACGAAUGGCGUAAUGAUGGCCAGGCUGUCUCCACCCGAGACUCAGUGAAAUUGAACUCGCUGUGAAGAUGCAGUGUACCCGCGGCAAGACGGAAAGACCCCGUGAACCUUUACUAUAGCUUGACACUGAACAUUGAGCCUUGAUGUGUAGGAUAGGUGGGAGGCUUAGAAGUGUGGACGCCAGUCUGCAUGGAGCCGACCUUGAAAUACCACCCUUUAAUGUUUGAUGUUCUAACGUUGCCCCGUAAUCCGGGUUGCGGACAGUGUCUGGUGGGUAGUUUGACUGGGGCGGUCUCCUCCUAAAGAGUAACGGAGGAGCACGAAGGUUGGCUAAUCCUGGUCGGACAUCAGGAGGUUAGUGCAAUGGCAUAAGCCAGCUUGACUGCGAGCGUGACGGCGCGAGCAGGUGCGAAAGCAGGUCAUAGUGAUCCGGUGGUUCUGAAUGGAAGGGCCAUCGCUCAACGGAUAAAAGGUACUCCGGGGAUAACAGGCUGAUACCGCCCAAGAGUUCAUAUCGACGGCGGUGUUUGGCACCUCGAUGUCGGCUCAUCACAUCCUGGGGCUGAAGUAGGUCCCAAGGGGAUGGCUGUUCGCCAUUUAAAGUGGUACGCGAGCUGGGUUUAGAACGUCGUGAGACAGUUCGGUCCCUAUCUGCCGUGGGCGCUGGAGAACUGAGGGGGGCUGCUCCUAGUACGAGAGGACCGGAGUGGACGCAUCACUGGUGUUCGGGUUGUCAUGCCAAUGGCACUGCCCGGUAGCUAAAUGCGGAAGAGAUAAGUGCUGAAAGCAUCUAAGCACGAAACUUGCCCCGAGAUGAGUUCUCCCUGACCCUUUAAGGGUCCUGAAGGAACGUUGAAGACGACGACGUUGAUAGGCCG
rnacentral:rRNA from 1 species